CCUACGGGUGGCAGCAGUAAGGAAUAUUGGGCAAUGGACGGAAGUCUGACCCAGCCAUCCCGCGUGCAGGAAGAAUGCCCUAUGGGUUGUAAACUGCUUUUGUUUGGGAAGAAAUGUACUUUUUUAAGAGUAUUUGACGGUACCAGACGAAUAAGCACCGGCUAACUCCGUGCCAGCAGCCGCGGUAAUACGGAGGGUGCAAGCGUUAUCCGGAAUCACUGGGUUUAAAGGGUGCGUAGGCGGCCAGAUAAGUCAGAGGUGAAAGUUUCCGGCUCAACCGGGAGAUUGCCUUUGAUACUGUUUGGCUUGAAUCAGAUUGAGGUUGGCGGAAUGUGACAUGUAGCGGUGAAAUGCAUAGAUAUGUCAUAGAACAUCGAUUGCGAAGGCAGCUGGCUGGAUCUGUAUUGACGCUGAGGCACGAAGGCGUGGGGAGCAAACAGGAUUA
rnacentral:rRNA from 1 species